rnacentral:lncRNA from 1 species
AGGCGUAAUCCGGAGGCAGCGGUUGUCCUUGCGCCGGACACGAAGUGUUCCCGGCGGCGAAAUCGAGCACCAAGGCGACCCCCCUGGGGAACCUUUUGAGUAGCGUCUUGUCGCCGAUGAUGUCCGUCGUUGAGAAGUUGUACCCUGACUUCUCCACCAGCAUGCCGUAGCCGCACGGGUAGAGUACCCGCAACCAGUUGUGCUUGUAGCUCACGCGGUCGAAGGACAAUAUGUAAUUCUUGACCGGGUUCUCUUCGGGCGGGAUGGUGCGCUCGCAGCAGCCCCACCCGUGCACGACCCGUUCCUUGCGUGCGGCAUGGACGACAGCUGCUCAUCUUGCGUGGUGCAAGUGAAACCGGUUGUGAGACCCAUUCGCGCAACCCACCUCAGCUCAGCCAGCUGGUAGCCGACGCUGAUGAAAACAUUACGG